rnacentral:rRNA from 1 species
GCUAUAGGUAUAAAAUUAAAGGCAGUUUAGAUGAAAAACUUUUUACAUAACAGAGUAUGGGGAUAUCAGAAAUGUUAAACUUAGCUAUACAUAAGUCUGUAGAGAUUUACAUAAAAAUAAAAAAGCUUUAAUAACUAAGUACCUUUUGUAUAAUGGUCUUUUAAGAGAAUUUGCCUUAAUGGCUUAUCCCGAACUAAGUAGAUUUUUUAAAAAACGGCAUAAAGGUUUUCGAUGUGAGAAAUCUUUUGAUUUUUUAAAGGAUGUGAUAUGCAAUAUCGAAACUUAGGAUAGCUGGUUAAGCGAUAAAUGCUUUUAAGUGCAGCUUUGAGGGUUAUGGUUUGCGGGGGGGAAAGCCCAAUAACUAGCUUCAAAAGUGAAAAACUUAGCUAAAGGUUAAGUUUAAAAUCUUCUUAAAAUUUGUUCUUGGUAAAGAAAAGUUGGAUUUAUAAUGUCUGUUUUGAUAAGAGUAUUUAACAAUUUAUCUUUAUUUAAAAAAGAAGAAUUAAUGAUGUUUAGGAGGUGUGAAAGAUCGCUUAAUUGCUAAAAAUGUUUUGUAGCAAGUUUUUAUGAACAGAAUUAGUAGUGACUGU